UAAUGAUUUUCUACAAUUGUAAACACGAAUUAGAACGUCGUUUUUGUUUUAGGGUUUUCUUAUGGAUUUCAUCUCCGCCAUUGCCAUCGAUACAGAGCCAAAUUCUGAGAGAGUUGAUUCACCUUCUUACAAACGAUCUCUACCAGUUACAGAUUCCUUAUCUUAAAGUCUUUCUUAAAUUAUCACCCACGAUCUACUUUGAAUGCGAGCUUCUUCAUGGAAGGCGGUGGAACUUCUAUUAUAAAAGGCUAAGCUUUCCUUUAAGCAAGUAAACUUAUAUCCUGAAAAUGGUCAAAGCAUCGAUCUUCCUUUCUGAUCUGAAGAUCGGACGAUGCUCCUCCACCGUUCAAGUCCGGUUGCUACGCCUCUGGGAGGCCAAGAACGUUCGACGCAGCUGCAAACUCAUGGGAGUGGAUAUGCUUCAACUGGAUUCUCAUGUUACUUUUAAAACUCCGCUCCAGUUCAUAUUUUCAAAAAAAAAAUUCCACCGCCUAAUUUCAGUCAUCUUGAAUCCUUAAUAACAACUAUUCAUGUUUAGAUCUUUGACUGAAAUAUUUCGUCUAAGAAUAUUUAUAAUCGUUUGUUGAUUAUCCCAUAUAUAUUUUUUUUAAUUUCUUGAUUCUGUUAUUGAACUUUUCCGUCGUCUUGAUUCAUUUGACCAAGUUCUCUAGAUUUUUUAUUUGUUUGUUCAUUGUAUCGUUUAGAAAAUUUUCCUGAUUACUAAUUUGGUUGAUGACUGUUCUAUGUAAAUCACAUGUUUCAGGCCACCAUGAUGCCGGCCACUCUGAAUGUCAACCGGCUUGGUACUCACAGGCCUAAUCUGAAUGCGGGUUCAACAUAUUCCCUGACCAGUUUCGAUGUGACCCGGUGUAAUCAGAAUUACCGUCUGUCGGACUCCUCUAUGUUGAUCACUUUCAGUGACUCAACCUCUUUUAAUGAGGUCUCCGAACCGUCCCAUAGCAAUUGAAUCUUUCCGGUUCCGAAAUCACAGCGAGAUGCUUGGCCUUACCGACACAAACACUAGCUACCAGACAUAUCGAUGAGAUAACUGAUAUGAAGAGCACUAUCAUUGACCCACCCCAUGACGAACCGUGUAAUGGCGACAAUCAAAAUGGAUAAGUAACUUUUUAUCUCAAAUUUUUUAUUUAUCUUAAAAUAUGGUGCACUUUUUAAGACAAUUGCAUUUUCAUAAUUUUCUAUCUCAAUAUGUUAUCAGUGACGUAUCUGUUACUAUGAAUCUGUUUGACGGACAGGCAGUCAAGCUCCACAACAAAUGCUAGGGCGCCUGUUCCUGAAUGCCACCUCAGAGACACACGUAUGUUUUGACAAGGAGACCACUGCAGGCGAGAGAUAUUUCUACAGACUGGUUUCCCAAGACACUGGGCUUCCAUCAGCAGCUCCACUGCUAAAGAGCAACGCCAAGGUGACAACUUUGAGCAUAGCAGAGCUCAGUGAGUUUGUCAUAGCUGCUCCAUCUCAGAUAUCGUGUGGAGAUGUCCGUUGCUGAUGAAACUGCUGAGGGCCUGUUCGUCUGUUUUGAUGGGGUUAUGACAAAACUGCACAACAUGAGAGCCAAUGAAGCUGGCCAUCUUCUGGCUAAUGAGGGAGUGAAACCGGAAGAAACUCAGGCUCCUCCCUUUGUUGCAGCAAUGGAAGGUAAAACCUACAUAUUCCAGGUGAGAGUUAGUUCCUACAACUUCAUAGAAAAUCACCAAACCUUUACGAUCUCCCGAAUCCUCAGUGAACGUGACCGUUUGCCACUAUCUGCAUUUGUUGAAAAUGGAGGAGACGAUGACAAUGGAGAUGACAACCCUGAUGUCAUCUCGGUUCCUGCUAAGGUGGAGUUUGGUGGUAGUAGUCAGGCGCAAGUGUUCGCUGGGAAGGUGAAGAAGGCCCGUAAGGCAUAGGUGGCAAAGAUUGAAGUUUACGUUACAUUAUUUCCGUUUUCACAAUGCUUAUGCAUGUCUUUUUUUUUUCCUUUUUGGUACUUUUGGUUUGUGAGCUACUUUGUCUUUGACUCUUAUAAUUCAAUGAUUGGUUCUGUCCAAUCUUUAUAAAAUCUUUGAGUUUCGAAA